rnacentral:rRNA from 1 species
GCAUAUCAUAGCGGAGGAAAAGAAACUACAAAGGAUUCCCCUAGUAACGGCGAGUGAAGCGGGAUGAGCUCAAAUUUAAAAUCUGGCUGGUUUACUAGUCCGAAUUGUAGUUUAUAGAAGCGUUUUCGGUGGCAGCCUGGGUAUAAAUCCUUUGGAAUAGGGUAUCAUAGAGGGUGAGAAUCCCGUCUUUGACUCAGUGCAUGCUACUAUGUGAUACGUUUUCAAAGAGUCGAGUUGUUUGGGAAUGCAGCUCAAAAUGGGUGGUAAAUUUCAUCUAAAGCUAAAUAUUGGCGAGAGACCGAUAGCGAACAAGUACCGUGAGGGAAAGAUGAAAAGAACUUUGAAAAGAGAGUUAAACAGUGCGUGAAAUUGUUGAAAGGGAAACGCUUGACACCAGUCAUGCGAGUGGAAAAUCAGUCUUUUGCAGUGGGGAGUUGUGGGCGUUCAGACCGCAAGGCUGGCGUUUGCUUCAUCUUUGUUGUAAGGGAUGCACUUUUUCAUUUGCAGGUCAACAUCAGUUUGCUUUGCUGGACAAAACCCCAAGGGAAGGUAGCAGCUUAGGCUGUGUUAUAGCCCUGGGGCGAUACAGUGGAGUGGACUGAGGUUUUCGCAGUGUGUGCUCUCUGGGCAAGGCUGACUGGGUGCUAUGGGAUCGUUCGGCGUACAAUGCAUGCAUUUUGCGUCGUGUCUUUUUCAUACUCGCUCAACUCGGCUCUUCCACACUUAGGAUGUUGACUUAAUGGUUUUAAUCGACCCGUCUUGAAACACGGACCAAGGAGUCUAACAUAUAUGCAAGUGUUUGGGUGGCAAACCCAUGCGCGUAAUGAAAGUGAACGUAGGUGCCAUCCGCAAGGUGCAGCAUCGACCGAUCUUGAUAUUUUUGGAUAGAUUUGAGUAAGAGCAUAUAUGCUGGGACCCGAAAGAUGGUGAACUAUGCCUGAAUAGGGUGAAGCCAGAGGAAACUCUGGUGGAGGCUCGUAGCGAUUCUGACGUGCAAAUCGAUCGUCAAAUUUGGGUAUA